rnacentral:rRNA from 1 species
AUUGAACGCUGGCGGCAUGCUUUACACAUGCAAGUCGAACGGUAACAGGGUGCUUGCACCGCUGACGAGUGGCGAACGGGUGAGUAAUGCGUCGGAACGUGCCGAGUAGUGGGGGAUAACGCAUCGAAAGGUGUGCUAAUACCGCAUACGUACUGAGGUAGAAAGUGGGGGACCUUCGGGCCUCACGCUAUUCGAGCGGCCGACGUCUGAUUAGCUAGUUGGGGAGGUAAAGGCUCACCAAGGCGACGACCAGUAGCGGGUCUGAGAGGAUGAUCCGCCACACUGGGACUGAGACACGGCCCAGACUCCUACGGGAGGCAGCAGUGGGGAAUAUUGCACAAUGGGCGAAAGCCUGAUGCAGCCAUGCCGCGUGUAUGAAGAAGGCCUUCGGGUUGUAAAGUACUUUCAGUCGUGAGGAAGGUGUUAAGGUUAAUAACCUUAGCAAUUGACGUUAGCGACAGAAGAAGCACCGGCUAACUCCGUGCCAGCCGCCGCCGUAACAC